CCGCCAGCCCAGCGCAAAUCAAAAUACUGUCACCAAUAUGGCGGCGCCGCCGCCGGCAAACACCGCGAGAUCUGCGGCCGCUGGCUGAGGCGGCGGCUGUGACGAGGCCUCGGCGGCGAGUCCGGAGCGGGGGAGCGGGCGGCGGCGGCGGCGGCGGCGGCGCGGGGGAUGCUCGGCCCCCGCCCCGGGCACGCGCCGCCUCCACACGCCUCUCUGGCCAGGACUAAUGGACUUUGAACUAGAACAUCAGAUCUUGAUUCUUCAGCGUAAUGACUUUUGAAUGGAACAUUGACUCUGCCUCAGUCUAGACUGACAGCUCACCCUAUAGAUUUUGGACUUUGUGCACAUCCAUGAAAAAAGGGAGAGAGAGAGAGAGAAAGAGAGUAAUAAAAGAAAGAAAAGAAACUUGGGCUCAAUGGAUUGAGUAUAUGCUUACCACCAGAUGUUCUCCCAAAAACCAAAGAAGGAAAAAGGAAGAAAGAAAAAAAGAGGAAGAAGUUUAAGGGCCAGGUAUGUGGCUCAAUGGUUGAGUGCCUGCCUGGCAUUGUUUCUUGGAGCCUAUAAAGCAUCCUCAAGAUAUUAUUUCUAAAGUCCAUAGAGGUCAUUAUCUGCUUAGUACUGUUGAGUCUUCCAGGCUCAAAAUAGCUCAGUGAGGUUCAACACUGCUUUCCCAUUGUGCCUACUGCAGGCUGGCUGUGAGUCUUUCUUUUUUUUUGGCUGUGAGUCUUUCUGAUUCACCACCUGUGGCCCCUCCCUCUCUGGAGAGAGUUGACUGAAGGAUUCAGUAACAGGGACAACCAGAUGAACACCUAGUCACCUUGAAUGUUCAAGAAAUAUUCCUACUGGGGGUAUGGUGCUGCCAGCAUGUCAACCUGUACCUGCAGUGUGAGUGCAUCAACAGCCUGAUGGUGCCUUCAGACUUCCUGAUACCCCAAAAUUGCCUCUGUGCCUUUGGCCAGACCCAACAACUUGGGGCCAAGUGUACCAAUAAUCUAAACAGCCAAGAGUUUGGUAUGUGGGAGCCAUGCCCACAAACCACCUCCAGCUCAGCUAUACAAACUCAUUUAUUGGCCUUAUUUCAAAGACCCAUAAAUCUCAAAGGAGAGCAAAAGCCUCAGCUAAUUUUCAACCCAUGGAUGGCUGAACAGACCCGGGUAAAUCGGAGGGGGGCCGGUUAGACUGGUGCCCACCCAAGCAGAGCCCCCGGAAGCUGCUUGCUUCCACAACCUAAAAUCACCGUCAUACCCCUGGCCUGACUCCACCGUCUCAGGGCAGACCUCACCAAGAUAUAAUCUGCUGAAAAUAUGGUUAUGCAGGUUUUGUGACUGAAAUCUUCAAGCUUUCUUGGGGUUGGGAUGGGCUACUUGCCCCCAUCUCUCCAUACUUCUGGAAGCCUUGGCAGUCACAUCCAUACCUCAAAGCUGCCACCCAAUUAAAAAGCUACUCCAGCAUUACUGUCCUGAUAAA